AUGCAAGUCGAGGGGUAUAGUUCUUCGGAGCUAGAGACCGGCGCACGGGUGCGUAACGCGUAUGCAAUCUACCUUUUACAGAGGGAUAGCCCAGAGAAAUUUGGAUUAAUACCUCAUAGUAUGUGAGAAUCGCAUGGUUUUCACAUUAAAGUCACAACGGUAAAAGAUGAGCAUGCGUCCCAUUAGCUAGAUGGUAAGGUAACGGCUUACCAUGGCAACGAUGGGUAGGGGUCCUGAGAGGGAGAUCCCCCACACUGGUACUGAGACACGGACCAGACUCCUACGGGAGGCAGCAGUGAGGAAUAUUGGACAAUGGGCGCAAGCCUGAUCCAGCCAUGCCGCGUGCAGGAUGACGGUCCUAUGGAUUGUAAACUGCUUUUGUACAGGAAGAAACACUCCCUCGUGAGGGAGCUUGACGGUACUGUAAGAAUAAGGAUCGGCUAACUCCGUGCCAGCAGCCGCGGUAAUACGGAGGAUCCAAGCGUUAUCCGGAAUCAUUGGGUUUAAAGGGUCCGUAGGCGGUUUAAUAAGUCAGUGGUGAAAGCCCAUCGCUCAACGGUGGAACGGCCAUUGAUACUGUUAAACUUGAAUUAUUAGGAAGUAACUAGAAUAUGUAGUGUAGCGGUGAAAUGCUUAGAGAUUACAUGGAAUACCAAUUGCGAAGGCAGGUUACUACUAAUGGAUUGACGCUGAUGGACGAAAGCGUGGGUAGCGAACAGGAUUAGAUACCCUGGUAGUCCACGCCGUAAACGAUGGAUACUAGCUGUUGGGAGCAAUCUCAGUGGCUAAGCGAAAGUGAUAAGUAUCCCACCUGGGGAGUACGUUCGCAAGAAUGAAACUCAAAGGAAUUGACGGGGGCCCGCACAAGCGGUGGAGCAUGUGGUUUAAUUCGAUGAUACGCGAGGAACCU
rnacentral:rRNA from 1 species